rnacentral:rRNA from 1 species
GACGAACGCUGGCGGCGUGCUUAACACAUGCAAGUCGAGCGGUAAGGCCUUUCGGGGUACACGAGCGGCGAACGGGUGAGUAACACGUGGGUGAUCUGCCCUGCACUUCGGGAUAAGCCUGGGAAACUGGGUCUAAUACCGGAUAUGACCUCCUAUCGCAUGGUGGGUGGUGGAAAGAUUUAUCGGUGCAGGAUGGGCCCGCGGCCUAUCAGCUUGUUGGUGGGGUAAUGGCCUACCAAGGCGACGACGGGUAGCCGACCUGAGAGGGUGACCGGCCACACUGGGACUGAGACACGGCCCAGAAUCCUACGGGAGGCAGCAGUGGGGAAUAUUGCACAAUGGGCGAAAGCCUGAUGCAGCGACGCCGCGUGAGGGAUGACGGCCUUCGGGUUGUAAACCUCUUUCAGCAGGGACGAAGCGCAAGUGACGGUACCUGCAGAAGAAGCACCGGCUAACUACGUG